UAUUCCAGCAGCCGCGGUAAUACGUUCCCGGGUCUUGUACACACCGCCCGUCACACCACGAGAGUUUGUAACACCCGAAGUCGGUGAGGUAACCUUUUGGAGCCAGCCGCCGAAGGUGGGACAGAUGAUUGGGGUGAAGUCGUAACAAGGUAGCCGUAUCGGAAGGUGCGGCUGGAUCACCUCCUUUCUAAGGAGAAUAGAGACGUGACGUAUUUUGGUCAGUUUUGAGAGAACUUACUCUCUUAAUUGUAUAUUACAUACAACGAAUAUGGGCCUGUAGCUCAGCUGGUUAGAGCGCACGCCUGAUAAGCGUGAGGUCGGUGGUUCGAGUCCACUCAGGCCCACCAUAUUCUUGUUUAUUGGGGCCUUAGCUCAGCUGGGAGAGCGCCUGCCUUGCACGCAGGAGGUUAGCGGUUCGAUCCCGCUAGGCUCCACCAAUAUUGUUCAUUGAAAACUAGAUAACAAGUAAAGCAAGGUUAAACCAUAUAACUCUCAUUUAAUGAGAAAACCGAGUAAACGAUCGCUACAACACUGUUAGUGUUGAAAUAACCAAUCAAUGGUUAAGUUAGAAAGGGCGCACGGUGGAUACCUAGGCACACAGAGA
rnacentral:misc_RNA from 1 species